UGGUGCAUUAUAGGAUUUUACGAGAAUUUUUCUUUAUUAAGUGCAUAUGAAUUAUGGUGCGACUGUUGCAUAUGAUCACGCGCUACUAUAAAUAGAAAGAGAUGAGAGGCGCAAGCCCUAGCAGCCCACUCACUCCUCUCGGUAUCUCUCACUCUCAUCUCAACGCCUCUCUCUGAGUCUCUGACUCUCUCAACGUCUCUCUCUCUCACUCUCAGCGUCUCUCUCGCUCAAGUUGGGCCACUCAAAACCCCAUUUUCCUUCAGCUUUGCAUCAUUCAUCAUCUCUUGCAGUACUACCAGUGGAUACAAGGAAGGAAAGGCAGCUGGAAUGGCUUCUUUGCAACACACAAGUAUCAAUACCACAGUUUUAUGCAAAAAAGGGGCGAUUUCCGUAAUGGGUGUUUCGGCUCUUCUGUCGUCACUAUCGAGGUUCAGAACCAUUGUGGGUUUCCGUUGUCACUACCGAGGUUCAGAACCAUUGUGGGUUUUGCGAGAGGUAAAGUUGAUAGUUCUUAGUGGAGAUUUAUAUACAUCAUGAAUUGGAAUUUGGUUUCGUUCUAGUUAGGGCUGAUAAAAAACCCAGGCUGCUUGAGUUCGAGUUGGUGCUUGUUCCUUAAAAGCUCGUUCAAGAUCAGUUUGGUACAUAGAUAAAGCAAGCUUGAACAUUUUUCUAAAGCUCAUUUAAGCUUUCAUAGCAAGCUCAAAAAAGCUACUACUCGGCUCCUUUGGCUUGUGAUGUAUAAAAAUUUCCGAGAUACUCGAGAUCGUCUAUGGCUCGAUAAAGCUCGUUCAAGAUCGGCUCAUCGCAUAAACAAGCUUAAAAUUGAACAUGUUUUGAAGCUCGUUAAGUUUCAAAUCAAACUCGAACAAUUAACUGUUCGACCCAUUUAUGACCCCCAAUCCCAACGAAAUGAUGUGUAUAUCUAAAUCUGCUCGUUGGGAUCUAUUCUGUAAAUAUUCUCUGUGGGAUUGGGCACUUAGUGUAUUUUUUUUGUUGUUUUAUAAUGUUGGAGUAAUCUAAAUUUGCUUAUUGGGUACUGCAUUUCAAUUAAACACCCCGCAAGUUGUUUACUCCUUGCUCUUGUAUCACUUUGCGCAACUCUGUUCUAUGGCUCAAUUUAUGCAGUGCACAAUGGCAAUCAGUAUCCAAACGUUAUCAGACUUGAUUCAGAAUUGCCAUUGAUCUGUGCUCCUCAAAGCCGGUAAGAUGGGAUCUGUACUACUCGUACCAAAGCCGGUAAGAUGGGACAAAGCCCUUCUCUUCUGUAUGUUUCUUUUUUUCCUUCUUUUUUUUUAACCGAAUUGUUGGUUUGAUCUGUUUUAACAGUUGGGUUUUUUGUGUGGGUGUGAUUGCAAUACUCGGUGAAUGAAGCGGUUGCGGGUUGAAACAAGUAUGUUGCGGUUGUUGGGCACCAAGUCUUUGAUGUUAUUCCUCAAAGAAAUUGAUACUGAAUUUUUUUUUUUUUUCAUUUUUCCCGUUGUGGUUUCAUGUCUAAUGCAUAGCUUUCAAUCUUUAUUUUGAUUGCCGGGGAGGAAACAUCAUAUGAAAGAGAUAGAAUAGUCCUACGAGCUCAUUCACUGGCUUGUAAGGAAAGCCAUGUAUUUGGGUUCUUCCAGGAUGGGACCAUGUCAUCCAUGUUAGUUGCAGCCACGAGAAUUAGGAACUUUUCACUUUCAGUACAACUAUUUAAUGGUGCUUAUCUGAAUGACACAUGACAAAAUCAUUUUAGGUGAAAACAGGAUAGGAUAUUUAAGCA